AUAUAAAAAAGAAGAUGUGGUAUGAUUGCCAAUGAGACAACUAUCCACAAAAGACCAAAAUGACACAGACAAUAACAACUAUAGGUCACCGUACGGCCUUCAACAAUGAGCAAAGCCCAUACUGCAUAGUGAGCUAUAAAAGGCCCCAAUAAGACAAUGUAAAACAAUUCAAACGAGAAAACUAACGGCCUUAUUUAUGUAAAAAAAUGAACGAAAAACAAAUAUGUAACACAUAAACAAACGACAACCACUGAAUUACAGGCUCCUGACUUGGGACAGGCACAUACAUAAAUAAUGUGGCGGGGUUAAACAUGUUAGCGGGAUCCCAACCCUCCCCCUAACCUGGGACAGUGGUUUAACAGUACAACAUAAGAACGAACUAUAAAAAUCAGUUGAAAAAGGCUUAACUCAUCAGAUGGACAAAAAAUACAAGUGGACGUGGCCCGGUACUUAUACAUCCCGACACAAAAAGACACAAUGAACAGAUCUGAGAG
rnacentral:lncRNA from 1 species